rnacentral:lncRNA from 1 species
GCUCCUUAGGUAGUAGUGGUGAUUGGUAAAUAGGAGCCGGUGGAAAUGGCGACUUAUAGACUGGGUGUGUGGAGGGUAGUAAGGCUCUUUUGGUGGGGGUGACGACUUGUAAACUGGAGUUGAUGGAGGUGGCAAUUUGUAGACUGGGGUGUGUGGAGGAUAGUAUGGCUCCUUGGGUGGUGAUGGUGGUGACUAGUAAAGCGGAGUUGAAGGUGAUGGUGAUUUAUAAAGUGGUGCAGGAUGAUAAGGUGUUGGUGAAGGAUGGUAUGGCUCUUUUGGUGAUGGUGGAGAUAAAUAUUGAUAAUUUGCUGAGCUUUGGGAAGCCAAGCAAAGUGACACAAAAACCACUAAAAGAGUGGAAAAUAGAGAGGCCAUUUCUCCCAAAAAGAAACAAAGGAGAGAAGUUGUUGUCCCUUUAAGCUGCACUCAAAGCCCUUUGUAUAGCUUUCAUUUAGAAGGUAUAAGGCUAAAGUUAUGUAUUUUUAAUUAGUUUUGUCAUGUUGUCGGUUCAAUUUGACCUUUGUUGGUAUACUUUUUUUUUUUUGUUGGAUAGAAGGUGCAAGCUAAGCAAAGAAAUUAACUACUAUGGCAGCUAUACUAUUUAUGAUGCAAUAAUUCAAAAAAAAAUACGUGGAUCCCACAACUUCCCACAAGAUUUUAGUUAUAGGAAUCUGAGCACUUUUUUUUUACACUUAGGGUGUGUAUGGUACGAUGGAAAAUAUUUUCUGAAAAAUGUUGGUUGUAGUAAAAAAUAUUUUCUAAGAUAAUUCAUUUUUUCCUAUUUGAGGGAAAAUGACUUCCCUCAUGGACCAAGGGAAGUUAUUUUUCGGAAAAUGAUAAAUGUGACUUAUGCCCCCAUCCUCACCCCUCUUCCCACCCCAACAACACUCAUAUUCACAUAACUCAAAAAAUUCACAUUUUUAAAAAAUUUAUUUUACUCAAAAUAUUUUUCACUGUGCUUUGCUUCAAUUUUUCACUGCUUGAAAUAAAAAAUAGUGAAGCCCGACUUUUUUUCAUUUCCAAUGUUCGUUGAAUGUAUUGUUAUUUUCAUAUGCAUAGAGGAAGACUUACCUAUGUUACUUUUGCUAAUUGCAUAUUUUAUUUUGUCAUCGAUGUUACUUCUUUCACGAGGUUGAAUAAGCUUAUCGUCCCGUUAUAUUUCUAUUGAUUGUAGUAUCUUGAGAUUGUCCUGAAAAAAUGUUGAAAAGUGUCUCCUAUAUUUGCUAAUUAAUAGUUGCUUAAAUUUAGUGAUUGUAAUAUUUUAGUAUUCGAUAUUGAUAUUAUUUAUUAUGCUUAAAUUAGUUCUUACAAAUUGUUGAGUUGCUAGAUGCACUGAUAUACUAGUUAACAGUUAGUAGUAUUUUCUAAAAAAAAAAAUUUCACUCACCAAUCAAACACUAGAAAAUAUUUUUCUAAAAAAUAUUUUCUACUCACCAACCAAACACCAUAAAAUAUUUUUCGAAAAUAUUUUUCACUCACCAACCAAACAUGAGAAAAUAAAUAGAAAACCAACUUAUUUUCCAAGAAAACAUUUUUCAUGAAAAAUAUUUUCCAUCGUACCAAACACACCCUUAGUAUUUGAAGAAUUCAAUUCUUGUGGAUUCUGACAGCUUAACUAACCUUCACUUAAGUGCUGAGAAAUUUAAAACAAUAUGUAUACAGUAUCAUAUAUUCUUUAAAAGAAAUGAUAUGUCAUUGUUAAAAGAGUUUAAUCUAGAGAAAACUGUGCAUGUGACUCGCUUUCAUUACCAACUAAAUCAAUUAUGUUCUUUCCUUUUGUGUAGUAGAGCUAAAAGAAACAUCAACCGAUUAUUUUGUAGCUCAAUGUUGAAAACUUAUGUGGUUCAAUAUGAUAUCUCUGAAAAUUUUACAGCUUGUUUGAUAGCUGCUGCCUAAUAAUGUAUUGUAUCGUGUUGCUAGUUUAAAUAUAAUGUGUAUUUUGAUUGUUUCUUAAAUUUUACUGUAUCAUUAAAUCUAUAACUAGAUAGCAAUAAAAAGUCUCAUUUGGUGUAACGACCUAUUUGAUGUGAUCGCGUUGUUACCUUUUUUCCCCUUUUUAUUUAUUAUUUAAUUAUCUUAAUGCUCCUUUAUCCUAUAUUUUUAUAGUAACUCUACCUCACAUUUUUCUAUUUUCCUUCUAGGCUUAUCCUUGAACUGUUAUAUGAAGGAUGCAAUGUAAUGACGAAAAAGGUAUAAUAAAUCCAAAUAUCGUAACAUUCACUAAAAUAAUAAAGUACAUACAAUACAACAUGAUACUUUAUGAAACAAUAUCAUUCCAAGUUAAGGACUUGAUUAGAAUGUGCAUGUUAAGUGUCUGAUGGGUUACUUAAGUAUAAAGUUCAAGUCCAUAUAAAAAGAUAAACCCUAAUUAUAAUGCCUUCAUCAUGGCUGGUCGACAGUAGUCUACUACUGAAUUUCCUCCUUUGAACCCAAAUUCUAUUGUGAAUAUCCAAACCCUACCGUUGGAUAAAUCUUUUGUUGAAUCAAUCAGUACAACAAAGUUGGACACCGUCUCUCGCAAAGAGGUGGUCAUGGUGGAAGGAAUCCCGAAUGUCACACUGAAAAAAGUGGAUACAGUGAAUAAAAUGGAGAAUUUGCAAUUUGUUGUCAUAGGUAAAUUCACUUAAGAAUGGACGGGUAUAGAAGAAUUAAGGAAUAUUAUCCCACAGCAAUGCAACAUUAAUGGUGAUUGUCAAAUUGGAGUAUUCAGAAAUAAACAUAUUUUCAUUCGUUAGACACAGGAGUCGGAUUUUAUUAAUAUCAUCAUCUCAAAGGGAGCUUUUUCCUUGCACUGUAAGGAUGGGUUCUCUUAUUUGAUGCGAACACUCUCACACUUAUCUAUGAUCCCCUUUUCAAAGAAACUUUAGAGACUACAAAGACUUUCGCAUGGAUUUCUUUCCCAAAUCUAUUGCCUACCUAUUAUGUCAAGGAAUGUUUGUUUUCUUUAGCUGCAACAGUGGGAAAGCCUGUCCAACUUGAUCUAGCCACCAUUAAUAGGACUAGACCAAGUUGUGCAAGGAUUAAGGUCUUGGUUGAUCUAAAAGCUGAUUUCUCUAAAUCAGUCCGGAUGGAUAUUGAAAAUGAAGAGUCAGGUAAAUGCAGGACAAUAGUGAAGCGGAUUAAAUUCGACCAUAUUCCUAAGUAUUGUCAUGAAUGCAAUAUGCAAGUUCAUGCUAAGAAUCAAUGUAGAAACUUAGGCACCCCAGAGGAUGCAACAAUGGCAGUAACAGUGGAUAAUAAGGAAUAAAAGAGGCCAGUACAACAUCUUCCUAAAUUCACAAUGCCUUUUGUACACAAAUUUCAAAACGGAAAAGCAUGAGUUCUUUCGAGUGGGAUUGUAGUUGGAGAUCCUACUAACUGGAUGGUUAUUAAAAAUGAUAAGAGGAUAGUUAAUACUUCCCAACAGCCUCUUUUAAUGAUAUAGUUAAUACUUCCCAACAGCCUCUUUCAAUGACAAAUAACCAAUUUGCUGCUCUAGCUACCGACGACAAAGAACCUGCUGAAUUAAACAUUUCGACAAAGGAGAGUUCAAACCUUAAGGCAUGUACGGAUGUGUUCCAAAUAAUAAGGAAAAUGAAAAAGUUAAUCUGUGGUCCAAUAAAGAAUCUGCUAAAGAGUGGGUAUCAAGGGAUUUUGGCAAGCUAGGUGAAGUUCCCAAUUCUGUAAUACCUGUACAGCAACAAGGCAGUCAGCAACUAAGUAAUCAACAACAAAGGCAAGAUAGAGAUAAUAAUGCUAAAGAGAAUAAUAAAGAUGGUAAUGGGAUGGAGAAUGAUAUGCAGGUUAAAUCUUUAAUAAAUCAGGAGCAUAAUAUUGAUGAUGGUCAGCAACAAUGCCUCAUAGUCAAAAAGGACAAUCUGCAAUCUAUAGAAGAUGUGCAACCAGAUACCAAGCAAUAGUCAAUGCAGAUUAAUCAAGAUUUUUACAGUGGAAGCUAUGAUAAUGGAGAUAGGUCAGUUGAGGAAAGUGUGGGGAUAACAGUUGUGAUGCAAGGGGAACAAAAUGUGUGUUUAGAAAUAAUGGAGAUUCCAAAACCAGUGCAGAUAGAUGAAUCAUUUAUCGUUACCAAGAGUUCUCCCAACAAAGUAAUACAUGACAUUGUCUCUCAUAGUUUAGGGUACAUUAAAUGCAGUAAUCAAACUCACAUGGCCAAAGGAGUUAAAGAAGUAGAUGUAGAAGAUGAUUCGAAGGAUCAUGCUCCAUCGGAAGCUGAUUUAUCACCAAGACUGAUGAAAAUCUCUAAAAAAGGAUAAAAAAGAAUGUGGAUGGGAGAAAACUCACAACCUACCAGAGUUCAUCCUAAGCGAUCCAAAUCUGCCCUAAAUUAUCAAUGAAAGCACUUAUUUGGAACAUUAGGUCUGUGAAGACACAACAAGAUUUCAAAGACUUCAGAUGCUUAAUAAUUAUCAUAAGUUCACCGGUUUCAGUUUGUUAGAGCCUUUUCAGAAUGUUAGAUAUAAGAGAAGAUUGAAAAUGCAUAGGGCUAUGUCAAACUGCAAUAGCAAGAUUUGGUUUUUCUCCUCUCAAGAUGUGAUAACAACUGUUAUUAAAGACACUGAUCAUCAGCUACAGUUCACUUGCAGGAGUAGGCUCAGAGCUUAGAUUUAUUACUCUUGUUUAUGCAAAGUGUUCUAAAGAGGAGAGAUUAAUCUUAUGGAAGGAUAUUUAUCAAGUUGCUUCUGGAAUUUCAAAACCUUGGAUGCUAGGAGGAGAUUUAAUGUUGUUUUGAAUUCUGAAGAGAAAAUUGGUGGCCUUCCAAUUCUUGAUGCAGGCCAUGGGGACUUUCAAUCAUGUAUUUCUUAUUGUGAUUUGAUGGAGAUACCUUUUAAAGAAAGUUCUUUCACUUGGUGGAAUGGUAGAGCAGGUAAUGACUGUAUUUUAGAAAGAUUGGAUAGAAUUUUUACUAAUCAACAACAACAACAACAACAACAACAACAACAACAAACCCAGUGUAUUCCCACCUAGUGGGGUCUGGGGGGGUAAGAUGUACGCAGUCCAUACCUCUACCUCUGCUGAAUUUUUACUAAUCAAGAUUUACAAAAUAAGUUCAAUCACAUGAAGGUAGAACAUCUUGCUACUAGUUCAGAUCAUGCUCCCAUGUUGUUGUAUUGUUAUGACAGAGCUAUCAGUUACAAGAAAUCUUUUAGAUUUCUUAAGUUUUGGACUGAUCAUCCUAAGUUCCUAGAAGUAGUAAGGCAGAAUUGGUGUUCUUCAGGUUCUCAGAGUCCAUUCUUAGAUUUCAAAGCAAAGAUUAAGAGAAUUAAAGUUGCUUUGACAAGAUGGAGUAAAGAGACUUCUGGGGAUAUUUUUAAAUAGUUGAUAAUCAGGGAAGAAAUUGUCAAGAUCAAAGAGAAAUUAUUUGAGGAAUGCCCUACGGCUGAUAACAGCGAAGUGUUGCAAAGAGCUCAGUCCGAGCACAAAAUAUAUCUUCGUUUUGAAGAGAUUUUUUGGCAGCAAAAAGCAGGUUAUGACUGGUUUGAGAAUGGUGACAGAAAUAUUAAAUUUUUUCAUAGCACUGUGAAGGGGAGGAGGAAAAGAUUGAAUUUGAAUAGAAUUCAAAUUAAUCAGGGUAUUUGGCUGGAUAAAGAAGAAAAGAUAGCCGCAGAGGUUGUUAUGUUUUAUCAGGACCAAUUUAGACAAGAACAAGAGGCUAAUGUUUUUUCAUAACUGAAUAAUAUACCUAAGAGUAUUUCUGAUGAGCAAAAUAUUGUUUUAAGUCAGUAAGCUGAUCUUGAAGAAGUUAAAAAGGCACUUUUUAGCUUAAAUGAAUAUAGUGCAAGUGGCCCGGAUGGGUUAACAAGUAGGUUCUAUCAGGUUCGCUGGGAUAUUAUUGGUAAUGAUGUUCUUAAUCUGGUGCAAGAUUUCUUAAAAGGUAAUACUCUUCCCAAAUUCAUUAUUCAUACUAAUUUGGUGUUGCUUCCCAAGAAGGAUUUUAUUCAAUUUUUCUCAGAUUUGAGACCAAUUAGUCUUAAGUAAUUUUAUUAAUAAGAUCAUUUCUAGGAUUGUGCAUGACAAAAGUGAACUUCUUUUGCCUAGACUGAUUUCUUUUAAUCAAUCUAAAUUUGUCAAAGAGAGAAGAAUUAUUAAAAAUUUCCUCCUGACUCAAGAGAUAGUUACUGACAUCAGAAAAAUGGGUAAGCCGGCUAAUGUGGUCUUAAAGCUUGAUAUGACUAAGGCUUAUGAUAGGGUUUCCUGGUUUUUCCUGAUGAAGGUUCUAAGAAAAAUAGGGUUCUCAAAAUUGUUUAUGGACUUGUUUUGGAGAUUAUUGUCUAAUAAUUGGUAUUCUAUACUAAUUAAUGGGCGAUCACACGGCUUUUUUCACUCAACUAGGGGAGUAAAACAAAGAAAUCCUUUAUCUCCAGCUUUCUAUUUGAUGAUGCUCAAUAUGUAGGUUAUGAUAUGCCAAAGUGGAGUUCCAAUAUUAAUCAUCUUGCUUAUGCAGAUGACACUAUUAUAUUCGCUGCAGCUAACAGAUACUCUUUGAGAAAGAUUUUUUCAGUGUUACGGGAAUAUGAAACUCAAUCAGGGCAAAAAGUUAAUAAAGAGAAGAAUGCUUUCUACAUGCAUCAGAAUUCAGCUGCAGUUGAUAAACAAAUGGUGGAAGAUUGUGCGGCUAUUUCUAAAGGCCAAUUUCCUUUGAAAUACCUUGAAUGUCCUAUCACUCAUGCUAGAAAAAGAAAGAGUCAUUAUUCAGAGCUAAUUCAGAAGGUUAAGUCAAAAUUACAGGCUUGAAAAGGUAAUAUUCUCUCAUAUGGGGGGAAAGGAGGUCCUUAUCUCUAGUGUUCUUCAAAGUGUUCCUAUACAUAUCCUUUCUGUUGUUGUCCCUCCUAUUUGUGUAUUGAAGGAGCUUCACAGAAUAUUUGCAAAUUUUUUUGGAGUAAUAAGGCCGAUGGAAGAAACAAACACUGGGCUGCUUGGGUAAAGGUGUUUUUACCAAAACAGAAGGCAGUUUGAGUUUUAGAUCGAUGUUUGAGGUAUCUCAAGCCAUGUAUCCUAAGUUCUGGUGGAAGUUCAGAACUCAAAAUACUACUUGGUCCAACUUUAUAUGAGACAAGUAUUGCAAAAAGCAAAUACCUUCACUAGUUUAAUGGAAAGGUGGCUCGCAAGUAAGGAAGCAUAUGUUGCAAAAUAGGGAUCUAGUGGAGCAAUUCUUGUGGUGGAACCUAAAGGAGGUACUUCUACAGUUUGGUAUGAUAAUUGGACUCAACUUGGUCCUCUUUUCAAACACCAGGUAGAGGUCAUUCUUCUUUUCCAGUGAUGGAUAUUGAGGAAUUCAUGUUGGGCUCAGACUGGGAUUUUGAGAAUAUGCAAUAUCAUUUAUCAGAUAAUGUAGUAGAGCAUGUAAGAUUACAUUUGAGGCUUGUACGACAUCCUGGAGAAGGUGACAAGCCCUGGUGGAUUAAAUUUAGUUCUGGCAAGUUCUCGGUUAAAAGUGCUUGGGAAGAACGGAGGAAAAAAACGUUUGUAAUGAGUCAUUUCAGAAGAUCUGGGUAAAAGAGAUUCCUUUCAAAAUUUCUUACUUUGGUUGGAGAGUUUGGACAAAUAGGAUUCCUGUAGCCUCUGUUUUAGCUAAUUGGAAUCCUAACUUGUCUCCUCUUUAUUCAUAUUGUGUUUCAAGAAAUCAUGGAGCACCUCUUUCUAAAAGGUGAAGUGGUUUAUUUCGGUUUGGAUUUAUUACGCCAAUGCUGCAGGUAUUCUGGGGCCCUGGGUUCAAAUUAAACUAUCCAUAAAGAAGUGGUGGGAUAUAAAUGGUAAUUAAAGACAAAGAUUCAUCUUUCAGGUAGUUCCUACUCUCAUUUUGUGGUUUUUACGGAAAAGAAGGAAUGCAUUAGUUCAUGGAGGUUCAUACUCUACAGCCAAGGUUAUUUGGGAUAUUAAUGGUUUAAUUAAGAAAAUUCUCAGAAAGAAGUUUGGUUAUGAUCAGUUACCAUCUAGUUGGCCUCAAAUAGUUGCUUUUUGACUUAUUUAGACCUACAUUUUUAUCUAGAUGGAUAAGAUGGUAUCCCCCACCUAGGGGAUAGUGGAAAUAUAACACUGAUGGAACCUCGAGAGGUAAUCUAGGUCGAAUUUCAGCUGAUUUUUGUGUACGAAAUCAUGUAGGUGAUCUUGUGUAUGCUAAGGGUUUCUCUAUUCCAGAUUCCACUAAUCUGGUUGUUAAAGUCAUUGCUAUAGGAGUUGGUUUACAUUAUUGCUUAGAAAAUCAAAUUGUCAACAUUAUUGUGGAAUCUGAUUCCCUUGUAGUAGUCAACAUGAUUAAUGGAGUGUGGGAAAUUCCUUAGAGUGUGAUAAUGGAGGUCAACUCCAUUAAAGAUAUGAUGGAUUCUUGUUCAGCAAGAGUACAACACUCCUUAGGAAAGGGAAAUACUCUUGCUGAUUAUUUAGCUAACUUGGUUUUUCAUUUUGCAGGUAACUUUGAAUUCAACAGUUUUCAUGAAAUUCCAAGCGCAGGUAGGAAGAUUAUCAAUCUAGACAAACAAGGCAUUCCACAAAUGAGGAUAAGACAGUGUACAUCAACUAAUUCAACAAGGGAUGGAUCGCUACUGCAGAUUACAAAGUGAAUUUACAAACUCUAUUAGCAGUGACUAGUUACUGGUGAAUUUAGUGCAGUCUGAAUUAGUUUCGUUUGGUUAACAUACCAUGCACCUGUGGGAAUUUUUAGGUGUUACAUAGAGUAUAAACCCAGGACUCACUUAUACUAGUUGCUAAUUUCUAGGUAUAGAGUUUAUAAAAAUCAAGCACAAAUUUAGAGGCAUUUCAUAGUCUCAAAUCUGUUGAUGAGGAGAGGAUGGAGUACCCGGGACCUCAAAUUUAGCGGCGGAAGAUAGACAGGGUAUAAUUAUCAAGCAAUACAAUUCUUUUAUACAGAUUCCACUUCAGAGAAGAACAAAAAUAAUCAUUGCCAACUUAUGGAUUGCAAAGUGUCAAAAUACAAAUUUCAGCAUUUGGAGUAACACAAGAAGGCAAGGAGCAAGAUAAGUAUUAAUGGACAGUAGUGGUGAUUAACAUUCACUAAUACUGAUUGAUUUCUAAGUCAUACAAUUGAAAUGGGGGUUAAGGUGAACCUGUUAGUUCUGGAUCCUUGGUGGUGGUAUCAAUCUCCUUGAGGUUUAUUCCGCUAGGAAAAAGAGAGAACAGUGAAAUCAUUUUUUUCAUUUCACAGAUGAGUUUAGAAUAGAAAAAGGGAGGUGACUUACCAUAUCAUCUGCAAUAAAUAUUUAUUGAUUUGGAGCUGUAGAAAUUUAGUUGAAACCAAUUUCAUGAAGUUUGUAAGAGAUUAAAGUGUCUUAGUGAAAUUUGAUGGAUGUUCCAUGGCAAUAAUGGCUUCCACAACUUAAUGCAACAACCAGAUGAGGUUGGAGUAGCAAAGAUUGAAACCAUAGUUGCCUCUCCGUGAUGUCUUUCAGCUUUGAGUUUUAUCCACACAUUCCUUUUCCUGCUUACAUUUUCUGUUUUUGGUCUUUUCAGAUGUCUGGAUAUAUUUGUUGCUUUUGUUUUGGACCCGGGUCUUGCUUAACUUGGGCCAAUUUGUACAUAUCUUUUCUGCUCCUGAAUAAAUUGGGCUCUGGUCCAUCUUCAAUUAAAAAAAAGGAAAAAUGACAUGGACUGACCAGUUUAAAAAAAGGAAAUUUUGCAUAUAUACCGACAUGUUUACUCUUAAUUACCAAAAAUUUCAACAUUUUUCAAAAUCUCCAAAAAUUCCAACAUUUGACCUCUGAUAAUACAAGUUAAUCACAUUAGAUACAUACUGUUGAUAUAUGUAUCUAAUGUGAUUAACUUGUAUCAUACAUUAGAUAUAUGUAGGGUUACAUUAGAUACAUGUAGGGUUACAUUAAAUACAUGUAGGGUUAACUUGUAUCUCAAAAAUAGUCCCAAAUAUGAAAUGUUGGAAUUUAUGUAAUUUUUCAGAAGUAGGGGGAUUUUUAGAAAUUUUGAAAGUUAUGAUGUUUAUUUAUGUAAUUUUUUGUUAAAAAGAAAAAAAAUAGCCCACACUAUGAAAAUAUGGACAAUUGGAGCCAGUAGACCCAAUUUAUUUCCUGUUUUUUCAGUCAUUUGGCCCAAAACUAUUCUCCUUACACAAUUAAGGGGAUUAAAUACUCUUCACAGUAGGCUACUCUUAAAUCACUUUUCUUUUCAAACUAUACUUUCCCAAAAAAAUGUUCACCUCUAUUAUGUGUCGAUCAAUCUACUGUGUUUUGUGAUAACAAUUGAGUUAGUAGGGCACAUGCAGUCUCUAUACCCAAUUGAUACACUUUUGUACCAUAUUGAUACAUGUUUAUACCCAAUUGAUACUCUUUAUACUACAUUGAUACACUUUUAUACUCAAUUGAUACUCUUUUAUACUAGAUUGAUACACUUUUAUACCACGUCGAUACAGUAUGUAUAUUACAUAAAUACAUCUUUUACAGAGGAAAUUUGUGCAAGCAUAUACAGUAACAAUACCAAAUUAAUACAGUAAAUCAAAAUUAGUAAGUACGAACAUAAUUGAUACUCUUUAAAAUUAUAGUAUUAAUAGUACAUAAAGUAACAAAAAAAAAGAUCAAAUCAUCUUUCCAUCAAUUAUUGUUUUGAUUUAGUUCAUUCUUUCUCCUUAACGCUCUUUUAUAUUUCUAACUUCCUCUUCCUACCUUUAUUUUCUCUUCUUUUUUUCUUUCCUUCAUUACUAAGUUAGUUGUAAACACCCAUAUGAUGAAGUAUGUAUUUACUCUUGAGUUGAUGUCAUAUUUAUCCUACUAAGAAAAAUCACAGGUUCUGUAAGGAAUUGUCUAGACAUGGAGUACAUAUAAAAAUUUAUUCUGCCACUUGAAAAAAACCUGUAAAAAACUAAUUAAAUUCAGAUUUUUUGAGAUUUUAUACAAAAUUUAUGAAAUGAGAAAGGUAAAUUGGAGUAUCGAAAAAAGGUAAAGGAACAAAUAUUUAGGAGUUUGAAUGGAAAGGAAACUGGGAAUGAAAAGAAAAGAAAGAAAGGGAAAGUUACUUCAAGGAUGUUUUUGAUUUUGUUUAAGCGUAUGACAGUGAAGGUUAGUUAGUGGAAUUACUCUGUGUCUAUUUAUGAUGUAUUUAAUUUUGACUGCUAUUUUUUUAUAUUAUUUUAGUUUUAGGUGUUAUUUCUGUCAUUUGCCCAAAAAAAAAAACUUACUAUUUUACUACAAUUCUUGUUGGUAAGAAUACAUUAUUUCUUUUUUUUUUUUAGGGCAAACAACAUAAAUUUCGAGAAUUUGGAGCUUAAUUACAGAAAAUUCUGAUAUUUUGCAUAAUUGUUGAAAAUCUCAAUUUUGGAUCUGUUGAGAUACAUUAUUAGCUUCUGAUACAAUCAAAAAGAUACAUUUUUAACUUUGUAUAGAUAUAUAAUUAGCUUCCGCUACAUAUUUUUUAAAUUUUGCGUUUGUUGAGAUAUAUAAUACAUCCAAUGAAGAUAUAUUUUUUUCUUUGUAAAGAUAUAUAAUUAGCUCCCAGUGCAGUUUUUUUAUUUUUGGGUCUGUCGAGAUACAUAAUAAGCUUUCGAUACAUCCAACGAAGAUAUAUAAUUAAUUGAGCUUUUUGUAGUUAUUUUGUAAGAGUGAAAAUUUUGUAUAAAUAUAAUAAGUUAAGAUGUAUAUUUAUACUAUUUUUCCAUAAUUUGCUUGCGAACCAAAUCGACCACUAAAGAAUUGAAAAGUUAAACAAUUUGUUCCCAAUACAGAACAAACUUUAGCCUAAAAUUUAAUGCUAAAAAUUACUACAAUGAGCUGAGUGGCUGAAAUGGUGCCACUUAAGAAUAAUUUGGUGGAUGAAAUGAAUGAAUUGUUUUGGAGUACAAAUUUUGAUUUAGACAAUCUAUUGAAAUUUAUUAUAGUACUGUUUAUAUUUAGGGGCCAUUUUUCAGGAUCUAUGAAAAAUUUAUAAUGUUGAGUAGAACAUACUAUAAAAGUAAUGUUGGAUAGAGCAUAUCACACAUUAGCACAAUCCUAAUCAAUAAUGAUAGCUAUUCAUCUCUAGUUCACUUUUAUAGUUAAUCAAAGAAUUAUUAACAACGAAAAUUAAUUUUCUUGUUUUGGUUUUCUAUCAUUGAAUCAGCAAUAGUUUGAUAUAAGAACUAUUCAGAACAGACUAAAUUAAAGAGAAAGAUGGAAUACCGUCAAUGAAAAUAAUAGGAUAUGAUAUCUUCAAAGAUAAAGAAGGCAGUGAACUUUUUACACAUAUAAUACGUAUAAUUAUUAAAGAAUAUAAAAGAAAUUAAAAAAAGGACAUACAGUACAUAUAUAAACUGGAAAAGAAGAUCAAUAAUGUAAAAGUUUGAUGUUAACACUGUUCCUUAAUUAAAAUUUCCAUAAUGAUUAUACUCGCUAUUUUCUUUCAUUUGCACAAAUCAAUAUGCUCCUUUCCCCCCUUUUUUUCUCCUGAUCACUCCUUAAAGAACGAGACAUAUAGCAUACAUAGAGAAGAGAGUACUUUGUCUCCCUCAAUAAAUACCUUGAGAAAAAAAUGUAACUCAUUAGUAGUUUCUUGAUUUUGUAAAAUUUUCUUUAUUUAAAAAAGAGUAACAUUGGAAGAAGGUCAUUAGUAUCUUUUUUAUUAUCUAAAACAACAUUUAUUAUCUUUUUUAUUAUCUAAAACAACAUUUAUUAGGAGCAAAAUAAAAAAGCUAAACAACCACUUAUUAGAAACAGAGGGAGUACUAAUUAUCUGAUAGUGUUUUCAGUGUUACGCAUCAUGAACUAAAAGCUUAAUUUAAGAAGCAUUGACUGCUUAAUGAAAUCUUUUAAUUCACAAUGAUAAUAAGGAAAUCCAAUUUGUGUUGUAUCAUUCUAGCCUUUCCAUUUUUUAUGGAGACAAAGCAUUAAUAGACAAAUGGAGAUUGGACAUAUCAAGAUUUCAGUCUCAUCCUGUCAAAUCAUUAAUUGUAAAACCUUCAUGUAUUUCUAUGUUCAGCCUAAGAUAUUAAGGGGUUAAUAUUCUUUCAAAACAUGGAGAGUUUCUGAUAUUGGGAGACAUGGUUGUUUGUCGAAUAUAUUUAUUUCUCAAUAAUUGAAAUAUAUAAUUGUAUUUGAUGUGAAGAAAGUAUUAGUUAAAAUGCAGUUUGGUUCAUUUUGGCUAGGGAUUCCAUCCUUUCCAUGUAUAAAAGUUUUUGAAUGUAAGGAUGAGAAAUCAAGGUAUCUGCUACACUUUUUUUAUAUAUACGUGUAGCGCAUGUAUCGAGAAAUUAGUAAAAGAAAAAAAAAAUUCCUCAGCUAAUUCUCAAUCAACACCAACUCCAUCUUAGGAAAGUGUGGUUGGUUCUGUUCUUCCUCGAAUUCAAUGAAUUUUUGUCAUAUUGUCAUACAUAUAACGAAUAAUAUAUAUAUNNNNNNNNNNNNNNNNNNNNNNNNNNNNNNNNNNNNNNNNNNNNNNNNNNNNNNNNNNNNNNNNNNNNNNNNNNNNNNNNNNNNNNNNNNNNNNNNNNNNNNNNNNNNNNNNNNNNNNNNNNNNNNNNNNNNNNNNNNNNNNNNNNNNNNNNNNNNNNNNNNNNNNNNNNNNNNNNNNUAUGCCUCUUUUCCUCUUUAAAUUUUAAAGUAAUAAUUAAGAAGAAAAAAGAAGAAGAUACUAUUCAAUAAUUUAAUUCUGAUACCAUCAACAUGGAAGACUCCAUUUGCUUCAUCUAACAAUGGACUUUGGCAUUAUAUAAUUAACAAAACAAUUAAUUAUUAGGAUAACUUAAUCACCGACAAAGGUUUCUUACUAUUAUCCUUAUGAGAUUCCACUAGUUAAGCUAAAUAUUUUUAAUCGACGUAAGAGUUAUGAAUGUAUAAACAAGUAGAUCUUAGCUACAUUGACCUAGUCAAUCAUUAUUAUUACCGACAUAUUUAUGCUAUACAAAUAUUUGUCCUAAUGCUAUCUUUUAUUUAUUUUUUUAAUGGAAAAGGGUCAAAAAGAUUCCUGAAUUAUUCGAAGUGGAGCAAAAAUAUCCCUCAUUAGUUUUUUGUCUCAAAAGUAUCCCUCUCUAAUGAAAUAACACCAAGCAUGUCAUGUAGACAAAAUACGUCACUUGAACAGUUCACGUCAGAUCGACCAUCUUUAUUAAAGGUGAAUGCUCCAUUAAAUGAGAGAUUUUCCAUGUGGAUAUUGGCGCCUAGCGUGGACUGUUCAAGUGGCGCUUUUUGUCCACGGACAUACUUAGUAUCAUUCUGUUAGAGAGAUGAAUAGUUUUGAGCCAAAAAUUUAAUGGAGGAAUAGUUGUAAGCAAAAAAAUUAACGAAAGAUAUUUUUACUUUAUUUCAAAUAAUUUAGGAAUAUUUUUAAUCGUUUUUUGCUUUUUUAUGAUUUCUAAGUUGCUUAUAAUUUUUUUAUUACUACAUGAUUAACAAUAUUUUUUUAUUUCCAUAAAUAACAGAGAGUAAACUAAGUUGCACCUUAAUGGUCGAAAAGUAUUCACUAUUUUUUUUAGACUUAAAGAGGUGAUUCUGAUACAUGUCUUAUGAACAAUCAUUACAAAUUUUAUUAUUUUAAAUUUUGUUUUAGAUAAGUCUAUGAUUAAGUUGUUGGUGACCAAUUUAUUCAAUUGAGUGAGGCUGGCAUGUCCAAAGAUUUUAGGACGAAGAAACGGGUUAUUAUGUUAAUUAGGUAGAUUUAUUUUAGGGAGAAAUAAGACAUAUGCUUUAAUUUGUAAAUAUUAAUAAGUAUUUUUCCAUUUAAGCAUAGCUUCUUUUAAAUUUAAAUUAGUAAUCAAACAGUGUUUAGUAGUAUUUUCUACCUUGUUGGCUUUGUCACACAUUUGAGAGAUGCUAAAAAUGUGUAUUAAAAAAAAAAUAAGAUGGAAAGAGAAGCAUACUGGCUCAAAGGUAAAGCCGCUAAAACGUGCUUUAAGGUUCAAAAAUAGUAUUUUUAUUAUAUAAUUAGUCUCUCCUAUGUUUUACAGUUUAUAGUCUAUAUGCAAUAAAUCAAAUUCUAUUAUAUAAUUUUUUAUAUAAAAAUAAAAGUUUCUUUAAAGUUAUUAAAGGAUGUCCAUUUGUUGUAAUAAAAUACAUUGAUUUUGGUUCUCAGAAUCCUAUUGGUACAUAAUAAACUUUGGCUAUUUUAAUUCAAAGUUUUAAAAUAUCAAAUACAAUUCUAUAAUCUUUAACUAAAAAUUUAAAAAUAAGAUUAUUAAACUUCCGAUGAUAUGAUUGUAUAAGAAAAUAAUAAACAUUUUAAAAUGUUAUUGUAACUUUAUAUAAUACAUGUAACAGUAUUUUUCUAGUGAUUAUAAGAAGAAUUUUAUUGAAAAAUCAAACGUAAUUGUAACUUGCGGUAUUGAAAGUAAAAUUUGAUGGCGAGGAAAAUAUGAGUCCAUUCUUAUGUCAUUAAAAUUUAUAAACCUUUUUAUUAAGAUGACUUGAAAAUGGUAUUUAACUAUAUAUAAUUUAUAAUUUUUUAAUUAUCAUAAAUAAAAUAUUUCAUUUUCGUGAUAUUUUAGUUUGGAUUGCUUUCUAUCUAUCAUUAAUGACAAAAUACAUCGUCAGACCCCUUAAAUUGACACCAUUUUUCACUUUGGCAUCUUAAGUGGACAUUGUUCACCUUUGGCAGUUCAAAUAACCAUAAAGUGUAUCAUUUUGACAUCUUUCGACAUCAAUAAAAGUGUGUGUUACACUCACUGUCAACGUGGAUAAAACGGCCAACUGAUUUAUGCCAAUUCAUUUAAAUUGCCACAUCAUUAUUUAUAUUCACAAUUAGUUUUAAAAAAAAUAAAAUCAAAACAUAUGGCAAUUAAUGACAUAAUUAUCUAACUCAUUAAUAUAUAUACAAAAUUAAAUUAAAAGAAUCAAUUAAUUACUGACACGUGACAUUUUUCAAAAUAAUUAUAAAAUUAUUUAUUUUAUUUGGACAACCCUCCACCCACCUCCCACCCCCAAACUCCAAAGUCAUCUUCUCUACCACCAUCUAUCCCCCCGAUACCCCCCACCCUAAAUCAUCUUCUCUAUUUGGCAACACCCCUCUUCCCGUCAUGUUCUCCAUCUCCCUCCCCCCCCACCACCCCCAACCCCUGCCUGAGUCAUCUUAUCCUCUCCAUUUGCCCCUUUGAAAAGAUGAACACUCAAUCAAAGAUUAUAGUAUAUAUGUAUAUCAAAGACCUUGAUUAGUCAUAGCUUGACCUCAAAAAUUAGAAGGCAUUAAAUGACUGUUUUUUUUCUUAACAAAAAAUAAAAAAGAAAUGAUUGACCUUGAAAUAUAUUCAUCAGUAGUAUGUGUGAACCUAUUCUUUGGCAACGCAGUGGUCUUCUUACUACUUCAGUUGCAGUCAUAACAUGUUGACAAAGAUGGUGAUUGCUCAACAACAAAUCACUCGUUGUUGUUAGUGUGUUAGUGUGUUUCGUUAUUCUUGAAAAGUUCAACCUCCAUUAAUGGAAGUUAAGCUAAAGAAAGGUUGUGUGAAGAAGGCAAUGUGAGGAAAUUUUUUGUAAUUAUUUGGUCAAUAAAACAUGUGCCAUUAAUUUAUUGGAUCAAUUUUUACUGAUUUGGCAAUAGAGAUUUUCAAUAGUUUUAAAAAAAAUUUAAAGAUGAAAAAUUACAAAAAUAUCCCUAAAAAUUUAUGAAAAUACUCUUCAAACGCUCCAAAAAGUGAGCAACGUCCACUUGAAGUGCCAAAAUGAAAGAUAGCACCAAGUUGAGGACCGACAAUAUAUUCUUUCUUCAUUAAUUAGUGCAUGUACUACUCCUGUACUCCAUUGGUUUUGAUUUUUUCUUGUUCCUGCACAUUAUUUCUCCUUUUUUACUGUCUAUAUAGUACUAUUUUUUAACUUAGUAUGUUGAAAUUAAUUAUUUUUUAUUUGCAUAUGAAAAAGAAAUACUUAACUAGAUUGAUUCUUAUUCGUAUAUAAAAAGUUAAAAUAGUGAAAUUCAAGAAAAAUAUAUGAAUUUUAUAUUUGGCUUUAGAUGGCUAAUUAUAUUAAGCCGCCCUUGAAGGGACGGUGAAUUGUAAUAUUUUUUGUGGUUGACUAUGAGGCGAGCUAUAAUAUGAAAUCAAAUAAGUAACAUAGUAUAAUUAUGUGCUAAGUAAUGUGUCAUAUGAUAUUUUUCAAUUGAUUUGAAUUCAGUGUGAAUUAUAGUUAGUCCUUCCUUUUGGAUUUUUGUUAAACUGAAAUUUUCAUUUUUAUUACAUAGAGAGAGAAGUUAUAAAAAGGAUGAUUACAACGUGUUGUAACUUUUCAGGACGAAGAACAACAAGUCAUUGUUUUAUUAAAGAGGGAUUGUCCCUUGUCCAUAUCAGCUUUCAAGAAAAUAACAGAACAAAUGUUGAAUCUACUACUAUGAGAAAUUCAUCAUUUGUUUUGUUGGAGUUAGCCAAUGUCUGCUUUCUCCUUCCUAAUCCUAAAAUUAGCCAAACCAACUUUAUCCAACCUAUAAGUCCUUUAUAUUCAUCAUUAAGCUCUUGAAAUUGUUGUUGAGUACAAUGUUGAGGGUGUACUUAAUUUCUAAUCAUACAAUAGCGGUCUUUUUCACUCUUUGUAGUUGAUAUAUUGCCUCACCAAACACUAUUUUCCUCUCUUCGCUCUUUUUAAAUACACAAUAAAUGAAUUAGGAAGUUACAAUGCUUGUUAAGAAUAGCAUAGAGCUUUGGAGAAUGUUUGGACAGGAUGUACAGUUUCUUUUCCUAGAAGGCAUAUAUAGUCUUUGUGUGCUUGAUGUCUUGAAAAAGGAUAGAGAAAGACAAUCCAUACUACAUGAAAAAUAUUGAAUUGAGACAUAAUAUUUAUCAAUGGACAAGUCUGGCAUAGAGUUUAAACGGAUUUGUGAUAGAAUUAACUAAUUUAUAGUGUUGAUUUUAAUUUUUUCAAAAAUAAAUCAUAAAAUAGAUUGCCUAGCUUGACGUGUUAUGUGAUAUUAUGCAUAGAUUAAGUCCAUUGGAGGUUGUCUGAUUAGAGAAUCGGACAAUGCUUAGCAUGGGAAUUUCAUUGAAUAUGGAGCUAAGUGAGACUUUAAUCUCUCAUUUACUUGCUUUUUCAAAAGCAUUAUUUAAAACUGAGAAAUCGCUUCAAACUACUCCUCCACCCCAUUUUAGUUGGGCACAUUCUAUUUUAUACGGUGAUUAAGAAUCAUAAAUUGAAUGAUAAAUUUUACGAUCUUACCCUUUACUCAUAUUAAUGUUAUUCGUUGGGCAUAAGAAUGAACAUUGAAAUUGAAAUUGUUAACAUUUAAUAUAUACUAAAAAUUGUAGGGGAAAAAUAAAAAAAUAAUUAAUUUUAUCCUAAUUUAGUAAGUGGUCUUUUUUGGUGGGCUGAAACGCAUUAAAAAGAAAUAGCGGAGUAUUACAGUAGCACCUGGAUUAACCAGGAUCUACAAAAUUUGAGUUUGAGCUUAUGCCCUCUAAUGAAACAUUACAACACCUUGUUUGCCUAAUGAAACUAGUUCCUAGGAUGUCAGCCCAGGUAGCUUUGCAGCAUACAUUGGAGGAAUUACAAAAGAGUUUCUCUGUCCACAAACUUUCAGUCUUGCUCCUUCCUUAGCUAAUGCAUCCUUCACCAUAUUCUGCUCUUUAUAGCAGUGCUGGAUUUGUGGUCGUCCCAGACUCCUGAUUAGCAACCUGCAUCCAUUAAUUAUGGCAUUAUAGUGGAGGUUUCCCUCUUUGAGCAUAAUAAUAACCUUUUUCGAGUCUACAUUGAUGUCCACGGGAACUAAGGACAUUUCCUCCAUAAUUUUUAGUCCCUUUAGUUGAGCAAAGAGCUCCAUCUGGUUAUUAGUAAUCACAGGGAAAACUUUUUUGAAACCUGUAGUCCAAUUCCCUUCAUUGUCUCUAAUAACCCCUCCAAUACCACCCCUACCAGGAUUUCCCAAACAUGAGCCAUCAGUGUUAAGUUUAAAUCUUUCUUUAGAGGUUGGUUCCCACUUAACACUAAUGUUCAAUAAUCUAUUUGUCACGACCUGAAUCAAGGUCUGGCCGUGAUGGGCAUCCCUAGCCAACCAAGGUCGGAGAUGACCCCUAACCUUACCUCAAGAGCACAUCAGUAAAAACAAACAACAAAAUCCAACCAAGAUAAAAAGAGAAACAUAUGAUUCCAAAAGAAAGUUAAGAGUCAAAACCAACUCCAUAAUAAUAUCCCGACACUGCCUACAAAAGUCUCUAAUCCAAAAAUACCAACUAAGUCAAGACAUGUCCCCGACUAUAACAAAAGAAAUUCAAAAGUUCUGAAAUGAUAAAUGUAACUAAGAAAGAGGCCAAGUCUUUUGAUAGUUCAUAAGUUGGUUGAACUUGUGUUGAACUUAUUGUGGAUUAAAUACAAAUUUUGUACCCAGAAUAACAAUCUUAAGGAAUUUAUUAAUAAUUUUAAUUUUUGAGUUUCUAGAGAUUAAAACUUUUUGCUUUCUACGCUGUUUGAACUUUAUAGUGAUUUGAAGUUAUAAAAACUUCAUCACGGGUUAAUGUUCAUUCAGUUGAUGAUUAGAAGAACAUAAAAGCUUCAACAUUAAACUAGAAAUAAGUUGUUUAAAGUUUUUAAAACUUUAUUCUUAGUAUUUUGACUUACUAAAUUGGUUGUCUUUUUGUCACAGUAAAAAUGAUUAUUGAAAAUCAAGUUAAUGAUGGAAUGGUCAAUGUCACAACAACAAAUAUUGCUACUUAAAAUCGUUCAAAUGCUGCUCCGCCAAGGCACUGACAGAAAAAUCAGAAAGUUUUCUAGUGUGGAUUUUAAAAGAUGGCAGCAGAAGUUGUUCUUUUAUCUGACUACAUUAAAUCUACAAAGGUUCAUCACUGAAAGCAUUUCAGAGUUUUCGAAAGAAAUAUCCAAAAAUAUACUUUAUUACUACAAAAGCUUGAAAGCACUUGAAUUUUUUAUAUAAGAACUACAUACUGAGUGGCUACAACAUGGCAUGUACAAUGUGUACAGCAAUAUGAAGACCUCUAAGGAACUAUGGGUAGCUUUGGAAAAGAAGUACAACAUAGAGAAUGCAUGAAUGAAGAAAUUUAUUAUUGCAAGAUUUGUAGAUUUUAGGUGGUAGACAGUAAUACUGUAGUUACCCAAGUUCAAGAACCGCAAGUCAUCAUUCAUGAUCUCCUCACCAAAGGUAUAAAUUUGUUCUUGAUACUUACAUAGUCUCUGAUGUAGGCUUAAUUGUGAACGAGGCUUAUCAAGUAGCUGCUAUAAUCGAGAAGUUACCACAUUUGUGGAAAGACUUCAAAAACUACUUAAAGCACAAGCACAAGGAGAUGUCUUUCGAAGACCUUAUUGUGAGGUUAAGAAUCGAAGAGGACAAUAAAGCAUCAGAAAAGAGGUCUCGAUGGAAUUUACAAUAAGUAGAGAAAAUAUUGUGGAAGACGACCCCCAAUAAAUUAAAGAGAGAAAGGAAGCGUCAGGACAAUAAGGCAAUCCUCCUAAGAAGAAAUUCAAAGAAAAUUAUUUUAACUGUGACAAAGUUGGCCACAAGUCUUCAGAUUGUCAGGCUCCUAAGAAGGACAAGAAAAGAGGAUCAAGCUAACAUGGUUGAAUCCAAGAUGAUGUGGAGAUCUAUGUGCUAUGCUUUUGGAGUGCAUGUUGGUUGAAAAUCCUAGAGAGUAGUGGAUUAAUUCAGGUGCCACUAGCCACAAUGUGCCAACAAAAAAUUAUUUCCAUUAUAUUUUCUGGCUCAGGCUAAUGAGAACAUAUUCACGGUAACUCUGUUACGGUAAAGAUUGAAGGAAAAUGCAAGAUUUACUUGAAGAUGACAUUGGGCAAGGUGGUGACACUAAACAACGUCCUUUAUGUUUCAAAGUUGCGAAAGAACUUAGUUUCUACUUCACUUCUAACUAAAAAUAGAUUCAAAUAAGAAUUUGUUUCUGACAAAGCUGUAAUUAGUAAGCAAGAAGUGUAUGUAGGUAAAGGUUACUUCAUCGAGGAUUUUUUUAAGAUCAGUGUAAUAAAUGUUGAAAUCAAUAAAAAUUCUGUUUCUUCUUACUUACUUGAGUUAAAUGAAUUAUGGCAUGAACAUUUAGGACAUAUUAAUUACAAAACUUUGCAAAAACUGAUUAAUUUAAAAAUUUUGCCUAACUUUGAGUGUAAUAAAUCAAAUUGUCAAACAUGUGUGGAAUCUAAGUAUGCUAAGCAUCUAUAUAAGUCUGUUGAAAGGAAUUUCAAUCCCUUAGACUUAAUCCACACAAAUAUUUAUGCUAUGAAGUCAAUACCAUCUCAUGGUGAGAAAAAGUAUUUCAUAACUUUUAUUAAUGAUUGCGCUAGAUAUUGUUAUUUUUAUUUGCUAAAUGAUAAGAAUAAAGUAAUAGACGUAUUUUGGUAAUAUAAAACUAAAGUUGAAAACCAGUUGGAUAAAAAGAUCAAAAUAAUAAGAAGUAAUAGGAGUAGAGAGUAUGUAUCUUCUUUUGCAGGGGUAUGUUAGAAAAAAGGAAUUAUCCAUCAAACUAAUUUCCCGUAUUCACCUCAAUCAAAUGGGAUUGUGAAAAGAAAAAUUGAAUGUUAAAGAAAAUAAUAAUUGUCUUACUCAUAAGUUCAGAUAUACCGCAAAACUUGUGGGGGGAAGUUAUCCUUACAGCAAAUCGAAUACUCAAUAGAGUUCCCUAUAAGAAGACACACUCUAUCCUAUAUGAAAAUGAAAAGGAAGGAAACCCAACUUGAAAUAUUUCAAAGUGUGGGAUUGUCUAGCUAAAGUCCAAGUCUAUAUACCUAAAAGGAUAAAAAUAGGACCAAAGAUUGUGGAUUGUGUGUUCAUCGUAUAUGCUACAAGGAGUAAAGCAUUUCAAUAUUUGGUUCAUAAAUUCGAACCAUGAAAAUACGAUAAUCUGAAUCAGAUAAUAUUAAGUUCUUUGAAUACAUUUAUCCGUAUAAAAUUGGACAUGAGAUGUCUAGUGGAGGAUCUAAACAACCUCGAGAUGAACCAAAGGAGAAUGUACUUAAUAAUGAGAAUCAAGGUGUAGUACACGUCAAAUACCGUCAAUUUUCUUUGGAUAAGAUUUUGUAACAUUUCUUCUUGAAAAUGAGCCUUAAAAAUUGAAAGAAACGAUGUCGUCUUCAGACCCAUCCUUUUGGAAAGAGGCAAUCAAUGGUGAUAUAGAUUCAAUCUUGAGCAACCAUACUUAGGAAUUGAUUGAUCUUUCUCCGGUAAAUAAACCUUUAGGUUCUAAAUGGAUCUUCAAAAGGAAAAUAAAAGCUAGUGGUACUUUUGACAAUUAUAAGACAAGACUUGUUGUGAAAGAUUUUAGACAAAAAGAAGGCCUUUAUUAUUUCGAUACAUACUCGCCAAUAACAAGGAUAACGUUCAUUCAGAUGUUGGUUGCGUUGACGACAGUAUAUGAUGUUGAAAUUCAUCAAAUGGAUGUGAAUACAACGUUCUUAAAUAGAGAAUUGAAGGGAGAAAUUUACAUAAAACAACCUAAGGGUUUUGUAGUUUCUGGUAAAGAAAAGAAAUUGUGCAAACUUGUUAAAACACUUUAUGGAUUAAAACAAGCACCCAAAUAGUGGUAUAUAAAAUUUGACCAAACCAUGUUGGCAAACGAUUUCAGGAUAAACGAAUGUGAUAAAUGUGUUUACAUUAAAGACACUCCAAAUCACAAAGUCAUUAUUUGUUUGUAUGUGGAUGACAUGUUGACCAUCAGUAGAGACAUUCUAACAUAAAUGCUAUGAAAUAAAUGCCUGAGGGCAAGUUUGAUUUGAAAGACCUUAGAGUUGCUGACGUAAUCUUAGGGAUAAGAAUUUUUAGAACUCCAUAGGUAUUGGCGUUGUCACAGUCGCAUUACAUUGAAAAGGUGUUUGACAAGUUCAAGCAUUUAGAUUUCAAUAUUGUUGAGACUACAUUAGACAUGAGUUUUGCAUUUCAAAAGAAUGAAGGUGAAAGUAACUCACAGUUGGACUAUGCAAGAGUGUUGAAAAGUUUGGUGUAUAUAUCAUAAAUUGUACGUGAGAAGACAUAGAAUGCACUAUUAGUAAAUUAAGUCGGUAAAAGACUACUCCUAAUCAAACUCAUUGGAUGGAUAUGAAAAAAGUUUUAGGGUAUCUAAAACAUACCCAAGACUAUGUUUUUAUUAUAACAAAUAUCCAGCGUAGAUGAGGUGACUUUUCAAAAUAAUGUAAUUUUUCGUGAACCAUUACUUUCUUUCUGAAGCACCACAUUGUGGCUAUAAAUGCCUGAAUUUUUCCUCUGAUAAAGGUAUGAAGAUUUGAAGGGAAAAACAUUUUCUUUUUCUUCUUAAAACUCUGGUAUGAUCUUCAAACUAUUGAGUGAGUUCGUUGUUCAGAAAAUUUGAGGUACCACUAUUUUUUGAAGAGAAUCAUUUUUCGUAGGGAGGAUAUAUUCCUUUAACCUCGAGUACUUGACUAGAAUAAUUUUUUUAAGGAUACAUCGUGAAUUCAGUGGAUUUGACUCAAUCGUUUCUGUCUUCAUCCCAUUUUCUUAAAGUUGGUUUUAUUAUUUUUCCAGAAAAAUAGUUUGAACAUUAUAUUGAUAGUUCUUCAUUUGUUUGAACUUGUGUUUGAAGUUUUUGAAACUUCAUUUUGAUAGGUUAUAAGUUGUUGAACUUGUGUUGAAGUUAUUGUGGAUUAAAUACAGAUUUUGUACAAAAAAUAAUACGAAAUAGCUGUGAAACCUUGGGGAGCGACCAACUAAAAGAAUUUGCACCGAAGUCGAUCCGAAAUCACUUUCAAAGUAAUGGCUUACCACGACACAAUAUUUUCAGUUCCAUAUUAAUAUUAGAGUAAUUUUUCCAACAAGUGGCAAAGUUUGUUAUUUAACUACAAAAUUUGUUCGUCAACAAAUCCUUGUUUUUCUUUUGUUGGGUAGUAUAUUUUGGUUUUAUCUAAUCAAUCUAUUGACAAGCUAAGCGCCUACGAAAACGAUGUAGAUGUUCUACCUACGGGGGCGGGGGGGUGUCUAUUACAAUUACAAAAAUAAACUGAAUGUUGAGUUUCAGUUCCACUAACACCUUGCAAAAGUGAAUUACCCAUGAAAGAUGGGGGUAUUAUAUCAAAAAAAAAAAACAUAUCUUUUGUUGUUUUCUAAUUUCUAACGAUAUAUUUUUGAUCCAUUGCUUUCCCAUAGUAUGCUAACUUGACAGCCACUUUUUUUUGCUUUUCUAUAUACGUGGAACACUUUUUUUUUCGUCAAAAUGCGAAUCAUAAUUUAAUCCGUCAAUUUUUACUAAAUUGUAAUUGUCUUUUUUUUUUUAUAAACAGAGAUAGCAGGUAACCCAAGAAAAAAAAAUGUCUAGCAGAACAUAUUACGCAUCCUCGAAACUACUAUGACCUAUAAAACUAGAUGAUAAAAAAAUUGGUUUUAUCAUACUGGCACACUUGUAGAUGUUCCAUAAUUCAUGUAAAUUUACUUCAGAUGAAUUGUAGUUUUUGUGUUCAAAUUCAUAUAAAAACGAAAUGAUUUAAGUUUCGUUCUUUGAAUAUCGCCAUACAGAAAUAAAAUAGAACAAGGGGAGUACUUUUCUAGGUCUCUAUUUGAUAUUUUAUCAGUAACAAUUUGAAAAUAGUCAUAACUCAUACACGUAGUAGUAGGUGGAAAUGUUUCUGAUUGAAUUCGGCAUAAAAAUAUUUUUAUGGAAAAAAAGUUUCUUCUAGUUUUGGUUUAUAAGUGGAUCAAUUUUUGUGGAAAAAAAGUUUCUGCUAGUUUUGGUUUCUAAGUGGAUCAUUCCCUAGCGCUCUACUAAAUGAUUUAAUUUUAUAUAAAGAAGAUGAAAUUAUAAGAAAAAAGAGAAAAAAGAAAAAGACUAGAGAUCUAAAGAAGGGAAAACUUAAAGUAUGUGGUAAUAACUUCUUUUAUUCAUCACAUAAUCUCUGCAUUUUGCAAGGAGAUUGAAACUGAGCAAACAUACACAAAGACAUAAAAGUAAAAAUACAAAUAUAAAUAGAGUACAAACAAUAUCACUAAUAACUUAGAGAACAUGAAGCUACAAAAGAACUUCGCCUCCCGUGGGGCUUAUUGUUUACUCUUUUUUCUUCUUUUUGGCAUUGCCUCUCGAAAUGGAAAAUGCCUUUCCUUGAGCUCAACAUUCUGCUUUUCCUGCAUAAGAAUAUAAUAUUGUCAAUGAGAACAUAUAGUAACUGAUUAAUAAACCUAAUAAGUAGGAGAUAGCAUAGGCUUAUAUAUUAAUGCGUUUGCAUGAAGAAAUUGUGCAACUUGUAUUGAUUUGCAUUUAGACAAAUCAUUUUUAAGAAUUUUAGUUUGGCUUAAUUACCUUAGAUUUGAUGUUGUUGUUUCUUAGUGAUGGUAGGGAGGAGGUGGAGACUUGUAAACCGGAGUUGGUGGUGGUGGAGACUUGUAUACUGGUGCAGGAUGGUGUGGUGUUGGUGAAGGAUGGUAUGGAUUCACUGGUGGUGGUGACUUGUAAACGGGUGUUGGUGGUGGUGGAGAUUUGUAUACUGGUGCAGGGUGGUAUGACUUCACUGGUGGUGGUGGUGACUGGUAAACGGGUGUUGGUGGUGGUGGAGACUUAUAAACUGGUGCAGGAUGAUAUGGCUUCACUGGUGAUGGUGGUGACUUGUAAACGGGUGUUGGUGGUGGUGGAGACUUAUAAAUUGGUGUGGGAUGAUAUGGUGUUGGUGGAGGAUAGUAUGGCCUCUUAGGUGGUGGUGGUGACUUGUAAACUGGAGUUGGUGGUGGUGGCGACUUGUACACUGGAGUGUGUGGCGGGUAGUAUGGCUUUUUGGGUGGUGGUGGGGACUUGUAAACUGGAGUUGGGGGUGGUGGAGACUUGUAAACUGGGGUGUGUGGAGGGUAGUGUGGUGGUGACUUGUAAACUGGAGUCGGGGGUGGUGGAGACUUGUAAACUGGGGUGUGUGGAGGAUAAUGUGGCUUCUUUGGUGGUGGUGGGGACUUGUAAACUGGAGUGUGUGGAGGAUAGUGUGGCUUCUUCGGUGGUGGUGGUGACUUGUAAACAGGAGUUGGUGGUGGUGGCGACUUGUGAACUGGUGCGGGAUGAUAAGGUGUUGGUGAAGGGUGGUAUGGCUUCUUAGGUGGUGGUGGAGAUUUGUAAACAGGAUGAUGAUGGUGUGGUGGAGGGGACUUAUAUACUGGGUGGUGAUGGUUUGGUGGAGGAGACUUAUAUACUGGGUGGUGGGGUGGAGAUGGAUAGACAUGCACUGGUGGAG